AUUGAACGCUGGCGGCAGGCUUAACACAUGCAAGUCGAACGAGUGGCGGACGGGUUAGAAAUGCUUGGGAAUCUUGCUUAUGGAGGGGGAUAACUAUGGGAAACUGUAGCUAAUACCGCGUACCAUAGGAUGAGCCCGAGUGGGAUUAGGUAGUUGGUGAGGUAAAGGCUCACCAAGCCGACGAUCUCUAGCUGGUCUGAGAGGAUGACCAGCCACACUGGGACUGAGACACGGCCCAGACGCCUACGGGAGGCAGCAGUGGGGAAUAUUGCGCAAUGGGGGCAACCUGACGCAGCCAUUCCGCGUGAAUGAAGAAGGCCUUCGGGUUGUAAAGUUCUUUCGGUAGCGAGGCGUUAACUACAGAAGAAGCACCGGCUAACUCCGUGCCAGCAGCCGCGGUAAUUC
rnacentral:rRNA from 1 species